rnacentral:rRNA from 1 species
UACGGGGGGGGCAAGCGUUGUUCGGAUUUACUGGGCGUAAAGGGCGCGUAGGCGGCCUGACAAGUGGAAGGUGAAAUCCCUCGGCUUAACCGAGGAACUGCCCUCCAAACUGUUUGGCUUGAGACCGGGAGAGGUGAGUGGAAUUCCCAGUGUAGCGGUGAAAUGCGUAGAUAUUGGGAGGAACACCAGUGGCGAAGGCGGCUCACUGGACCGGUACUGACGCUGAGGCGCGAAAGCGUGGGGAGCAAACGGG